UCAGGGGUGGUCUGUCAGUUUACCGGAUGACCGCGUGAGCGCGCUGCCGCGCAAGACCAACCCUCUAUUCGCGCUACAUCCGGCGAACGUGACUGAUCGUGUUCGAUUCGCUACCGUUGGAAAACAGUCGAGUUUUGUCGCUCGGCCAAUGGUACGCGAUCUCCGUACGUAUUCUUUACCUCGUCGCGUUUUUCUUAUCACGGAUCUUUUUCGAUCACUCUUUCCUAUACUUAUCCGUUAACGUGCUACAAUCGACGGCUUGGAAAGUCACCAUCUAUCGACCGCCGUCACUGACCGGUCCGUCUUUUCGCUCUUUUCUUCGUUCUUCAAGCCGUACCGACCGUAUUCCUAUCGCUGCACUUUGGAUCCUCUUCCCUCUCGAUCCGAUCGAGCCGUUCUCAUCUUGCGCGACCCUGUGACUCUGCGCAGUUUUCGUGACCGUAAACCCCUCGCAGCAAGAAGAGCAUCAUGCUACAUCGUUCUCCUGAGGCCACCGAAUAGCAAAUUAAUUCGAAAAAAGGAGACAUAGAAGAGAGUCAAAGAAGAAAAAUAAAAGCGAGUAAGAGGAACGGAGCGGGGAGAAAGAGGGGGAGGGAGGGGGAGAGAUUCCUUUCCUCGAAUAGUGUGUAGUGUAUUCUUGGUGGAUGGUAUCGCAAGGAUCGGUAGCUAGUUCGUGAUGGGGGUGGCAACCAGUUUAUCAGACAUAGUCAGUACAAGAAAUCCACCAGGAAGAUAAUGCAGAUAAAUGCCUUCGGAGGGAAGAGCGGACAAGUAACAGAGGAUUAUAUGUUGUCAGCCAAAUGCCCGUGAACACUCGAGAUCGCCGAAGAAACAGCCAAGGCCCGAUAAAUACGGAAAUGGAGCCUGCACGAGGCACGUCUGCUCGAUAGAUUCGACGCGGAUGCGAUGGCUGGCCCAAUUAUGGAAACAAAUAACGUGCGACGACGGUGUAAAACUAAACAAUC